GAGGAAACUCUGAUGCAGCGACGCCGCGUGAGCGAUGAAGCCCUUCGGGGUGUAAAGCUCUUUCGACAGGAACGAUAAUGACGGUACCUGGAGAAGAAGCUGCGGCUAACUACGUGCCAGCAGCCGCGGUAAUACGUAGGCAGCAAGCGUUGUUCGGAAUUACUGGGCGUAAAGAGUGUGUAGGCGGUGCUCUAAGUUCGUUGUGAAAUCUCCAGGCUUAACUGGGAGGGUGCGGCGGAAACUGGAGUGCUUGAGCGCGGGAGAGGAAAGCGGAAUUCCUGGUGUAGCGGUGAAAUGCGUAGAUAUCAGGAGGAACACCUGUGGUGUAGACGGCUUUCUGGACCGUAGCUGACGCUGAGACACGAAAGCGUGGGUAGCAAACAGGAUUAGAUACCCUGGUAGUCCACGCCCUAAACGAUGCAUACUUGGUGUGAGCCAUUCAGUUGGUUCGUGCCGGAGU
rnacentral:rRNA from 1 species